rnacentral:rRNA from 1 species
AUUGAACGCUGGCGGCAUGCCUUACACAUGCAAGUCGAACGGCAGCACGGGAGCAAUCCUGGUGGCGAGUGGCGAACGGGUGAGUAAAGUAUCGGAACGUGCCCAGUCGUGGGGGAUAACGUAGCGAAAGUUACGCUAAUACCGCAUACGAUCUAUGGAUGAAAGCGGGGGAUCGCAAGACCUCGCGCGAUUGGAGGGGCCGAUAUCAGAUUAGGUAGUUGGUGGGGUAAAGGCUCACCAAGCCGACGAUCUGUAGCUGGUCUGAGAGGACGACCAGCCACACUAGGACUGAGACACGGCCCAGACUCCUACGGGAGGCAGCAGUGGGGAAUUUUGGACAAUGGGCGAAAGCCUGAUCCAGCCAUGCCGCGUGCAGGAUGAAGGCCUUCGGGUUGUAAACUGCUUUUGUACGGAACGAAAAGGUUUGGGCUAAUAAGCUGAGCUCAUGACGGUACCGUAAGAAUAAGCACCGGCUAACUACGUGCCAGCCGCCGCCGUAA